rnacentral:snRNA from 1 species
GUGCCCACUUUGGCAGCAGAUAUACUAAAAUUGGAACAAUACAGAGAAGAUCAGCAUAGCCCCUGCACAAGGAUGACACACAAAUUUGUGAAGCCUUCCAUAUUUUU